UCCUCCAGCACCAUCCGAAACCCACCCCCACAUUCAGCUAGAGACUCCCGCCAGAUCUGGUAACCAUGGCAACGCUGCAUGCGGUCGAUACGCAGAAGGGAGCUGCACCAUGUUCUUGAGCAUUGUGUGCCAUUCUGUGCUAGCCAAGCAUGGGAGGCAGUCGCGACUCGAGAUUAUUUUGGAUAUGCUCGCUGUAUUGUAUAUACGUUUAAUGCAACGAGGUGACUGCUGUGGCUAUUUUCGCGUCGCUACAAAAGCUGAAAUAAGCGGAAGUUUAUAAUGUCAUACACUUAACAACUUCCGUACAUGGGCUAAUUUCUCGUUUAUGCUCAUUUGAGGAAUUCCAGUGAGUAUUUAUCAGCAAGAACUGGUAUUGAAUCCCACGUGACUGCUGAAAUGAAAUCGCUGAAAACUCACAUGACAGCAUUUUAUAAUCGUCUUAAUUUAUGAAUAUCAUACUCAUGUGAAAUGCUGAAUGGAUACUAGUAUAAUAUUCAUGGAUGCCAAAAUAAGAUUUGAUUAAUUCUCUGAUUUGGAUGAAUGUGACGGCAGUAAAAUUUAGUAUCAAAUCAGCCUGAAUGGUCUUAUAAACUAAUCACUUACAUGCAUAUAUGAAACCUAGAAAUUCAUCAUGUUAUAACAAGCUUCCAUUUCUGCUCAAGGGAUUUUUGAUCUCAUUCAUAAAGCACUUAUGUACAUAAAGUAAAAAACAUGUACACUAAGCUUUUUUAUUACAACAUUUUCAGAAUUCUUCUCUUAUACUUCUAUACUUGUAGACUCUUAAAAUAUUACUGCAGCUCUAAUUUGAGUAAGAAUAAAUAUAUCAGCCUUAUUGGAACGUUGAAAUAUGUCAGCUGAAAUAUGUUUUUUUUCUUUCUAUUCUAAAAAAAUAUGUACUGACAAAUUAAAUAUAUGGUAUCAAUGACUUUACUAAUUUGCUUACGUAGAAUGAAAGAUUUUCAAUAUAGACUGAAAAAAAAAA